UGGGGUUUCCUAAUCAAUUAUUGGACCGUGGAUUGAGUUUUCACUUGUAUUUGGCCCAAAGCCAUAUCAGGCCCAAGAAGAGGCCAAGAAGAGGAGUUAGGGCAAGCUUGCUUAUCUCUUGCCCAUCAAGUACCCUCAACUAUAAAUAGGGAGUGACUCUCAACUUAUUACUCCUAUGCUCUCUCUUACAUAUCAUACUUAAUUAUCUCUCGAUAAACACUGACUUGAUCGUCGGAGCUUCUACGCCGGGAAACCCCUCCCGGCGUUGCAGGUACUCCUCCGGCGGAACUUCCGGCGAGCUAUCAUCAAAAUAUCGUCCAAGGGAGACGGGUCGUCAUCUCAACUAUUUUGGAGCAAAUCACAGAGGAUAACUAUGAUCGUGGAGAUUCUGCUAAUGGCAUUGUCAAUUUCUAGAAGGGUAUUGCGAAGCAGGCAAGCGGCGGAGGGCGGCGAAUUAGAAGCGGCGGGCGGCGAAUCAGAAUCGGCGGGCGGCGGACGGCGGUGGGCUGAAGAAGGACGAAGAGUAAUUUGUUUUUUGGUGGUGGUGACGUGAAGAAGAUGAAUUUUAUUUCUUUUUCUUUUUUUUUAAGAUUUAUUUAUAUUUAUUAAAAAAUAAGAAAAUAAGUGUAAGUGGAAAAGACCAAUUUAUCCAGCUAAAAUCACGUGCUUCUCACGUGUUGUGGAUUCCCGGCCACAUUUUGCCAAAAAUGGACAAUUUCUGUUCCGGUGCUACAAAUUAGUAAGUUGAGGUAUGCUCGUGCAACUUUUUUCCGUUCAGGGGGUAAAGUGUAAAAACGUUCAAAGUUUAGGGGAUUUUUUGCAGUUAA